UCAUUCAUCAAAGAUUGGAUCAGAAACUCGGAUGGAAAGCUUAGUUUACUUGGAUAUACAAAAUUUUUACAUGGUGUGACUCUUCGGAGCUCAAAUACAAGACAUCAUUAGUUUUUAGUUUUCUUACAUAUAGGUUUUUUCUUAGAUUUAUUUUUUAUAUAAUUUUCCCCAAAAUUGUUGGCAUUUGGGGGACUUGGGGAUUUUUCGUUUUUUCAGGGGGGG
rnacentral:misc_RNA from 1 species